UACAGAGGUCUCAAGCGUUGUUCGGAAUCACUGGGCGUAAAGGGUGCGUAGGUGGCGCGAUAAGUCGGGUGUGAAAUCUCGGAGCUUAACUCCGAAAUUGCAUUCGAUACUGCCGUGCUUGAGGACUGGAGAGGAGACUGGAAUUCAUGGUGUAGCAGUGAAAUGCGUAGAGAUCAUGAGGAAGACCAGUGGCGAAGGCGGGUCUCUGGACAGUUCCUGACACUGAGACACGAAGGCCAGGGGAGCAAACGGG
rnacentral:rRNA from 1 species